UACGGAGGAUCCAAGCGUUAUCCGGAAUCAUUGGGUUUAAAGGGUCCGUAGGCGGUUUGGUAAGUCAGUGGUGAAAGCCCAUCGCUCAACGGUGGAACGGCCAUUGAUACUGCCAGACUUGGAAUUAUUAGGAAGUAGCUAGAAUAUGUAGUGUAGCGGUGAAAUGCUUAGAGAUUACAUGGAAUACCAAUUGCGAAGGCAGGUUACUACUAAUGGAUUGACGCUGAUGGACGAAAGCGUGGGUAGCGAACAGG
rnacentral:rRNA from 1 species